rnacentral:misc_RNA from 1 species
UCUCCGUUGGUGAACCAGCGGAGGGAUCAUUACAGGACUCGCAAGACUCCUUCACCCUGUGAACCUCACUACAAGCACGUUGCUUCGGCGGGUGUCCCGGCGGGGGUUCUCCCACGCCGGGGCCCACAGCCCGCCGCCACCCUACUAUACUCGGUCUCUUUGCGUUGGCAUCUCGAGAAAAAACAAACAAGUUAAAACUUUCAACAACGGAUCUUUUGGUUCUG